AACGAACGCUGGCGGCAUGCCUAUCACAUGCAAGUCGAACGAGACCUUCGGGGCUAGUGGCGCACGGGUGCGUAACGCGUGGGAACCUGCCCUUAGGUUCGGAAUAACUCCCCGAAAGGGGUGCUAAUACCGGAUAAUGUCUUCGGACCAAAGAUUUAUCGCCUUUGGAUGGGCCCGCGUUGGAUUAGCUAGUUGGUAGGGUAAAAGCCUACCAAGGCGACGAUCCAUAGCUGGUCUGAGAGGAUGAUCAGCCACACUGGGACUGAGACACGGCCCAGACUCCUACGGGAGGCAGCAGUGGGGAAUAUUGGACAAUGGGCGAAAGCCUGAUCCAGCAAUGCCGCGUGAGUGAUGAAGGCCUUAGGGUUGUAAAGCUCUUUUACCCGGGAUGAUAAUGACAGUACCGGGAGAAUAAGCUCCGGCUAACUCCGUG
rnacentral:rRNA from 1 species